GACGCUGCCGCUGAAUAAGCGGGGUUGAUCCUAUGACAAGGCGCGGGAGAUUUUCCGCGCCUUUUUUUAUCCGGG
rnacentral:sRNA from 1 species